AUAGAACAUGCCCCUGCAGCCUCACUGCUCAAUCCUCUGCCAUUUAGGAGUUAAAUCCCUUUGUUUAUGAACCUUAGUCACACCUCCCUGCAUGUGACUUGCACAGCCUUCCAUGAACACUUCCUGUAAAGAGAGCCCUAUUUAGGCUUUCUUUAUUGCAAGUUCUGUUUAAUUAAGAUUUUCUUAUCCCCUGCUAUGUUAAUAGCUUGCUAGAUCCUGCAAGAGCCUCCUG